AAGUCGUAACAAGGUUUCCGUAGGUGAACCUGCGGAAGGAUCAUUAUUGAAUUCUCAAUAACGUAUGUGAACCUGCUGAACCUUGGCUCAUAAGUUUGUAGACGCUGUUGGGGUCAUACCGCGUUAAAACUGGCGGACUUUGAGCCGCCAGUCUAUUUUUAACCACCCUUUAAUCAUGAUUAUUACUGAACAUUUUAAAACUAAAGACAACUUUUAGCAACGGAUCUCUAGGCUCUC
rnacentral:misc_RNA from 1 species